UCCCUGGUGGCUUAGCGGGUUGAGGGUCCAGCAUUGUCACUGCUAUGACAUGGGUUCAAUUCCUGCCCUGUGAA
rnacentral:tRNA from 1 species